UAACUUCUGUGGGAAGACCCAUUUUAAUUGUGAGUGUAACCUAUGUUGUAUAAAUGAAGAAAACGUUAUGAACAGCAGUACACAUUGCUGUGUUCUACCAGAUGUCAGUGCUACGGGUGAGCUGCCUCAAGCUCUUGGUGCCCUCAUUUCCCACAACCACGGACUUCAGCCUGGAAAUCUGAGUUUCAGAUGUUUCAGUCCACUUUAGAGGAAGUAGAGGACACACCAGAGAAGUUCGCGUCCUUGCAAACAGAAUGUGGAAACGGGCUGGCUGACAGGUGUCAGAAGCAUUCAAGGAGGACCUUCCUUUUGAUUGUAGGCUGAUGUGCUAAUCAAAUCAACAGCAAGAAUGUUUUCUGUUGAGAGAAAUGAGAGCUUAUCAACUAGCCAACAAUGCUGAAAGGAGAAAAUAAUUCUAGGUAUCAGUGCUGAAGACUUCAUUACUUAU